GGUUCGUUGAAUGUAGAUUGCAAAUUUACUCAGGCCUAGAGCGCGAGCCUUCUCCAUAUAAAUAUGUACAAACCUCCCCCCACCGUGUUUAUUAAAAUUAAGAGCGUCUGAGUAUUAUUAGCCAAUAGGUUCACUUUAAAACUUGCGCUAUUUAGAGUUAGAGUUAUUAGGCCGGCCCGGAUA
rnacentral:tRNA from 1 species